CCUACGGGCGGCAGCAGUAGGGAAUAUUGCUCAAUGGGGGAAACCCUGAAGCAGCAACGCCGCGUGGAGGAUGAAGGUUUUCGGAUUGUAAACUCCUUUUGUUAGAGAAGAUAAUGACGGUAUCUAACGAAUAAGCCCCGGCUAACUCCGUGCCAGCAGCCGCGGUAAUACGGAGGGUGCAAGCGUUACUCGGAUUCACUGGGCGUAAAGAGCGCGUAGGCGGGAUAGCAAGUCAGAUGUGAAAUCCUAUGGCUUAACCAUAGAACUGCAUUUGAAACUGUUAUUCUAGAGUAUGGGAGAGGUAGGUGGAAUUCUUGGUGUAGGGGUAAAAUGCGUAGAGAUCAAGAGGAAUACUCAUGGCGAAGGCGACCUGCUAGAACGUAACUGACGCUGAUGCGCGAAAGCGUGGGGAGCAAACAGGAUUAGAUACCCCAGUAGUC
rnacentral:rRNA from 1 species